rnacentral:rRNA from 1 species
CUUGACGACCAUAGAGCAUUGGCACCACCUGAUCCCAUCCCGAACUCAGCAGUGAAACGAUGCAUCGCCGAUGGUAGUGUGGGGUUUCCCCAUGUGAGAGUAGGUCAUCGUCAAGA